GAUCAUGGCUCAGGACGAACGCUGGCGGCGUGCUUAACACAUGCAAGUCGAACGAGAAUCUAAUGACGGAGUUUUCGGACAACUGAUUUAGAGGACAGUGGCGGACUGGUGAGUAACGCGUGAGGAACCUGCCUUUCAGAGGGGGACAACAGUUGGAAACGACUGCUAAUACCGCAUGAUGUGUAACUGGGACAUCCCGGAUACACCAAAGAUUUAUCGCUGAAAGAUGGCCUCGCG
rnacentral:rRNA from 1 species